CUCCCUGUAGCUCAGGUGGUAGAGCAGGCGACUUUUAAUCGAAAGGUCGGAGGUUCGAGUCCUCCCAGGGAGACCA
rnacentral:tRNA from 1 species